rnacentral:rRNA from 1 species
CUACGGGUGGCUGCAGUUAGGAAUAUUCUGCAAUGCGCGAAAGCGUGACAGAUUGAGUCAAAGUGCUUUUCUUUUAGAAAAGCUUUUAUGAAAUCUAAAAAGUUUCAUGAAUAAGGACUGGGUAAGACUAGUGCCAGCCGCCGCGGUAAUACUAGCGGUCCAAGUCGCAGCCAUUUUUAUUGGGUCUAAAACAUCCGUAGCUUGUUUGGUAAGUCUCUUGUGAAAUUUUGUAUCUUAAGUAUGAAGCGCGCAAGAAAUACUGCUAGGCUAGAGACUGGAAGACGAAACGAGUACGUUCAAAGUAGCGGUAAAAUGUGUUAAUCUUGGACGGACUAACAAUAGCGAAGGCACGUUUCGAGGACAGUUCUGACAGUAAGGGAUGAAGGCUAGGGGCGCAAAACGGAUUAGAUACCCCUGUAGUC